CCCAGACUCCUACGGGAGGCAGCAGUGAGGAAUAUUGGUCAAUGGGCGAGAGCCUGAACCAGCCAAGUCGCGUGAGGGAAGACGGUCCUAUGGAUUGUAAACCUCUUUUGCCGGGGAGCAAAAAGCGGUACGUGUACCGCAUCGAGAGUACCCGGAGAAAAGCAUCGGCUAACUCCGUGCCAGCAGCCGCGGUAAUACGGGGGAUGCAAGCGUUGUCCGGAAUCAUUGGGCGUAAAGAGUUCGUAGGUGGCACGUUAAGUCUGGUGUUAAAUGCAGAGGCUCAACCUCUGUUCGGCACUGGAUACUGGCGAGCUUGAAUGCGGUAGAGGUAAAGGGAAUUCCUGGUGUAGCGGUGAAAUGCGUAGAUAUCAGGAGGAACAUCGGUGGCGUAAGCGCUUUACUGGGCCGUAAUUGACACUGAGGAACGAAAGCCAGGGUAGCAAAUGGGAUUAGAUACCCCAGUACA
rnacentral:rRNA from 1 species